CACAGUCAGUAAAUCGUGCUUGUAAGACUUUAAACUUCUUAUAAAACUUUGAAAAAAACCAAAAAAUCCAAUCAUGCAGCCACGCUUUGUGAUCUUCUUCGUGACCAUCUUCGUAGCCAUCUCUCAGUUUGAGGGUGUAGCAGCCAAUACUGGAUGUAUAUCAUUUCUUGGACUCACCGUUGAUGUGUUGUGCAGCCUUCUAUGUGACAUUGGGCUAGUUGAGGAGACAUGUUGCUUGGAAAAACUUGCUGUUUGCUAUGCAUCCCCUUGCUCUCCCUGUGACAUCAGCAGUUGCUGUAUUGCUUAAUAAAUUAAUCAUUUAACACCUUUCAUUCUGUAUGUUGGCCUUUUUUUCUUUCUCAAAUAAGAAAAUAAUUUGAGAUGGAAAAAGAUGAAAAAACUUAAUGAAAGUGUUGAAAUGUCUUUGAAUUUUUCUAUCAAUGUGAAAUCAAUGUAUUUUCUUACCAGAACAAUUAAUAAAAUAUCUAUCCUUUCAAACUAACUAA